UUCAGUGAUGAUAAUCCGCAUAGGAAGUGCCGUCUGAUGCGAUAACUGACGAUCGAGCUGUUCUGAGA